GGGAAACUGAGUGUGGGUCACAGUGGCCAAAAAGUUGUCAGGGUCCCCUGAUCAGGGAACUUUAAAGCACUGACAUCUGGAGCGAGGUGGCAGGGAGGCCUGGCAGCAGAAUACCACCAGAAAUGGCCAGCAAACCCAGAAGAUGGAAACCAGGAAGGGAUGGCCUCAGAUGGGAGGUGAGCACUGGGCCUCACGAUGAUGGCGGCGGACAUGAACCUGCACUUAAAGUGAACAAAGCUGGAGAACUGAGUGAAGGUGGUGGUGUUCAUCCUGACAGAACUGGGGCAUGUGGUCUGUGACAGGAGCCGUGGAUGUCGGAAUGUGAGACUUGUGCUCAUUUUUAACAAUGGGGAAUCAAACUAUUGUAGGCAGGGGAAAAUCUUAAAAAUCACAUCUGUAUCAUUCAGAAACAUGGAGG